rnacentral:rRNA from 1 species
UACGUAGGGACCGAGCGUUGUCCGGAUUCAUUGGGCGUAAAGAGCUCGUAGGCGGCUGUUCAAGUCGAACGUGAAAACUCGGAGCUCAACUCCGAGCCUGCAUUCGAUACUGACGGGCUAGAGUACUGGAGGGGAAAGCGGAAUUCCUGGUGUAGCGGUGAAAUGCGCAGAUAUCAGGAAGAACACCCGUGGCGAAGGCGGCUCUCUGGAACGCAACUGACGCUGAGGAGCGAAAGCGUGGGGAGCGAACAGG